AUUGAACGCUGGCGGCAUGCUUUACACAUGCAAGUCGAACGGCAGCGCGGGCUUCGGCCUGGCGGCGAGUGGCGAACGGGUGAGUAAUGCAUCGGAACGUGCCCAGUAGUGGGGGAUAGCCCUGCGAAAGCCGGAUUAAUACCGCAUACGACCUGAGGGUGAAAGCGGGGGACCGAAAGGCCUCGCGCUAUUGGAGCGGCCGAUGUCGGAUUAGCUAGUUGGUGGGGUAAAGGCUUACCAAGGCGACGAUCCGUAGCUGGUCUGAGAGGACGACCAGCCACACUGGGACUGAGACACGGCCCAGACUCCUACGGGAGGCAGCAGUGGGGAAUUUUGGACAAUGGGGGCAACCCUGAUCCAGCCAUGCCGCGUGCGGGAAGAAGGCCUUCGGGUUGUAAAACGCUUUUGUUCGGGAAGAAAUCCUCUGGGCUAAUACCCCGGGGGGAUGACGGUACCGGAAGAAUAAGCACCGGCUAACUACGUG
rnacentral:rRNA from 1 species